rfam:Isosphaera pallida ATCC 43644, complete genome.
GGGCGAUUAGCUCAGUUGGCUAGAGUGCCAGCAUGACACGCUGGAGGUCGCAGGUUCGAGCCCUGCAUCGCCCA